rnacentral:rRNA from 1 species
CAGCAGUCGCCGCGGUAAUACGAAGGGUGCAAGCGUUAAUCGGAAUUACUGGGCGUAAAGCGUGCGUAGGCGGUGAGUUAAGUCUGCUGUGAAAUCCCCGGGCUCAACCUGGGAAUGGCAGUGGAUACUGGCUCGCUAGAGUGUGUCAGAGGAUGGUGGAAUUCCCGGUGUAGCGGUGAAAUGCGUAGAGAUCGGGAGGAACGUCAGUGGCGAAGGCGGCCAUCUGGGACAACACUGACGCUGAAGCACGAAAGCGUGGGGAGCAAACAGGAUUAGAUACCCGCGUAGUCCCUGUCUCUUAUAC